rnacentral:rRNA from 1 species
GCGCGAACACUGUGCAAUGCGCGAAAGCGCGACACGGGGAGCUUGAGUGUCUUGGCAUAGCCAAGACUUUUCUCAUUCCUAAAAAGCAUGAGGAAUAAGUGCUGGGUAAGACGGGUGCCAGCCGCCGCGGUAACACCCGCAGCACGAGUAGUGGUCACUUUUAUUGAGCCUAAAGCGUUCGUAGCCGGUUUUGUAAAUCUUCAGAUAAAGCCUGAAGCUUAACUCCAGAAAGUCUGAAGAGACUGCAAGACUUGAGAUCGGGUGAGGUUAAACGUACUUUCAGGGCAGGGGUAAAAUCCUGUAAUCCCGGAAGGACGACCAGUGGCGAAAGCGUUUAACUAGAACGAAUCUGACGGUAAGGAACGAAGGCUAGGGUAGCAAA